GUAAAGUGGCGUACGGGUGAGUAACGCGUAGGCAACCUGCCCAUGUGCUUGGGAUAACAGAGCGAAAGUUCUGCUAAUACCGGAUACGAUCGUUGAUCGAGAGGUUGAUGAUGAAAGUCUGCCACUCGGAGAAGCAGACGCACAUGGAGGGGCCUGCGUCCUAUCAGCUAGUUGGUAGGGUAACGGCCUACCAAGGCGACGACGGGUAGCUGGUCUGAGAGGAUGAUCAGCCACACUGGCACUGGAACACGGGCCAGACUCCUACGGGAGGCAGCAGUGAGGAAUUUUGCGCAAUGGCCGCAAGGCUGACGCAGCAACGCCGCGUGGGUGAUGAAGGCCUUCGGGUCGUAAAGCCCUGUCAGGUGGGAAGAAAGUCACGAGGUCGAAUAGGCUUUGUGUUUGACGGUACCACCAGAGGAAGCACCGGCUAACUCCGUGCCAGCAGCCGCGGUAA
rnacentral:rRNA from 1 species